rnacentral:lncRNA from 1 species
GCUCCGGGAACUGCCCUCGCUUCCUGGCACUGAUCAGGGUGAAGAGAGGCACCAGAAGUGGGCCUGCAGGCCAGCGCCCUGAGGACUCAGGUGACCGUGGACUCUGGCUGGGCUGCAGGGGUGGCCCCAUCCCAGGGCUCCGAGGAGGCUGCCCGGAGGAGGAGGAACGGGAGGGCUGGGGGUGGCUUCCUGGACGGGGUGGGCUGUGACAUUGAUGGGGGCAAUGCCCCUGCCCUUUGCUGGGCUGGUGAGCUUCUUAGCCGUGGCAAGCACUGUCCCUUUCUAGCCACCACCCUGCCAAGACUCCCUGAAAACACGGCUGCACCCCCAGGGCCCUGCCCCCUGCUCCACGGCCUCAGCGCAGGCGGCCUGGACCUGGGUGCACACAUCCUGCUCACCGUGGGAGCCGCGGCGUCCCUGGCGUCCUCACACAGCCAGGACUGGACGUGUUGUGUUUCCAGUGCUUCACAAAUAAGUAGGUGUAGGAUGUCAGGCCACAGGUCUCACUUCUGAUUUGAAAAAGCUUAACCACCAUUAUCUACUUAUAGAAUCUUAAGAAAAAAAAAAAACUCCACAUAUGUGCACACCCGUGGUCGUAGCAGCAUUAUUCACAAGAGCCAAAAGGCGGACGCCACCAGGUGUCCAUUAAAGGACAACAGAUGAACUAAAUGUGAUCCAUCCAUACAAUGGAAUAUUAGUUGGCCUUAAAAAAGGACAGUUUGGAGCCAGGUGUGGUGUGCAUGCCUGCAAUCCCAGGGGCUUGGGAGGCAGAGGCAGGAGGAUUGCAAGUUCAAAGCCAGCCUCAGGAAAAAAAAAAAAAAAAAAAAAAGGACAUUUGGACAGCCGUACAACACAGAUCAUGGAUGGAUCUCCAGGACAUGAUGCUCGUGAAGAGGCCAUCAGGACAAAGCCCGUGUGAUCCCACUUAGGUGAGGUCCCUAGAGCAGGCAACCGGGGCUGCGGGGAGUUGGUGUUUACUGGGGACAGAGAUUCAGAUUGGGGAGAGGGAUGAAACUCAGGGGGACAGCAGAGAUGGCCGCACAGCAACGUGACCCAGCCUAACUGGACACUUGACAGUGGUUAAGAAGGUACAUUCCUGUCGGAUGGAUGCUACCACGAUUUUAAAUGCCAGGGAGAACCCUUGCUAGACUCCAUCAUGGGAGCUGGUUACUCUGAAACACUGAGCACUGACCAAAACCAGAGAGCUGGUGAGCCCCCCGCCCAGCCACACCAAGACGCUCGGCCAUCUGUGUCACUUCAUUUCUGUCCCCUCCCUAUUUACUUUGAGGCCAGUCCCAGGGCCAGGGGUCAUACUGCUUCACCUGGAGACACUGCAGGACGUAGCUGUCAACUCUCAGGGCCAUUCCCACUCCACGCCGACCGCGGUCCCCGAAGGAAACCAAAUCAGCACCUUCACCUUUCCACACCGGAGGGUCGUGUAUCUCAUACACAGUUCCACGUGCCAAACACACGACGUCAUCGGAUUUCCAGUGUUUGUUCAACAUAUCAACACAUGCCUACAAAAUGCACUUGUGUAACAUCUAUUAGUCUAUAACUCUAAGUAUCUGAUAUAGAAAUGCAUCUCAUGUAAGAUACAGAACACACACCCAUGUGCGCCUAUCUUCACGUGAACUUGGACCUAAAUAAGAUCCACAUGUGAAAGCUGGCCCUCUGCCCUGGACCCUGCAGACCGUCCCAGUUCACCCUUCUGCUCUCUGGCAGGUGAGCAAGGACCCCAGUGUCCGGCAGAGCGGGAGACUCUCCCUAGCUUCAGCUGUCACUUCUUGAGAACAUCAAGUCCUCCUUGGCCUGGUGUCCAGCGAGGCCUUGCUGGGAAGGCCGAGGGCCCUCGCCGUCCACCGGCCCCUACCUAGGUCUCUCAGACUCUGGCUCCCGCUCGUGGACUCUGAGCCCCAACCCUCUGCUGAGGUUCUUCCAAAUCAAGUCUUAUACCAAGGACUAACGUGUCAUUUUCUAAAUGGAUUAUGAUUUUUCUUUAAAGUUCUCUUUUGGAAAUAAUUGAACAGAUUCAUGGAGGAAUCAUUGACAUGCAGUAAACUACAGUCUGCAAGGUCCACUUCAGCAGAGAACUCGGGAUUUAGAAUAGCCACUGGAUUGGUGGAGCUGUUUGUUACACAGCACUAUUAGAGCAGAAACCUGACUAAGCCACAUGGAUAACACUAGUGCUCACUUAUGAGAUUGAGGAUCAAAUGUUAUAGUAUACUUUAAGAAUAAUAUCCACUUAUUGUGUACCUGAUACUCACCUGGCACCUAGGGGACAGAGCAGCCUGAGGUCAGACAACUGUUCCCAGUUGGAAUCACACAUGCAGCUGUGGGACAUGGGGCUAUGUGUGUCCCUGUGGAAGGUCCUGGAUUCUUGUGUGUGAGACCUCUUGGGGGUAGAUUGCAUAUUAUUCCCAAAUUUUCAUCCUUUCUUGAAUUUUGCACUUAUGUUUGCCAAAUGACUUGCAAUGCCUGGGACUGGGGCAGGCCCAGUGUCCCCUACCUCUCCCACUGAAGCAUGGUCUGGCUACGUGACUUGGGACACUAUCUUAAAAACAUAAUCUUGGACAACGGUUGGGAUUUUGGCCUGGUCUGCUAUGCACUGCAAGACCAAUGUGUCCCAAGAAAUGGAUGGUCCCCAGAUAGACUCAUGGAGCUGAAUAAAUCUGCCCUGUGGCCUGGAGCUAAAUUGAGUCAACGCACAGAAUGAAGCAAAGUCACUCCAGUUGACCUGCAGAACUGUGAGAUGAAAACAAAUGUGACAGGGCUGGGAUCCAGCUCAGUUGGUAAAGUGCCUGCCUCGCAUGCACAAGGCCCUGGGUUCAAUCCCCAGCACCACACACACAGAACAAAGAAAACAACAACAACAACAACAACAACAAAAGGAAAAUAAAUGUGACAGCCCUUGGAUUGGUGGGGCUGUUUGUUACACAGCACUAUCAGAUCAGAAACCUGACUAAGCCACAUGGAUAAUACUAGUGCUCACUUAUGAGAUUGAGGAUCAAAUGAUAUAGUAUAUUUUAAGAAUAAUAUCCAUAUACAAAAUAUACAGCUCACAACCUGGUCAUAGAAUGGAAACCUCUCAACAUUGAGACCCUGAAGUCCCUCUAGAUUCCUCAUCCCCAUCCUGCCAUCCUGUCCAUCCUGAGGACUCUCUCAGCCUGAUGCAGGACCACUGUCCUGGGCAGAGCUUUGGGGAUUAAAGUGUUUGGGGGGAUUAACGGAGAGACCCGUAAGUCCCAGCAGGAGCACGUAGAGCGGUGUGCUUACCCCAAGGUCCCCACAGCACAAGAAUUCCCUCUUGCUGUGUGCGUCUUCUUUAGCUUCCAGUUUUC